AUUGAACGCUGGCGGCAGGCCUAACACAUGCCAGUCGAGCGGAUGAAGGGAGCUUGCUCCUGGAUUCAGCGGCGGACGGGUGAGUAAUGCCUAGGAAUCUGCCUGGUAGUGGGGGAUAACGUCCGGAAACGGGCGCUAAUACCGCAUACGUCCUGAGGGAGAAAGUGGGGGAUCUUCGGACCUCACGCUAUCAGAUGAGCCUAGGUCGGAUUAGCUAGUUGGUGGGGUAAAGGCCUACCAAGGCGACGAUCCGUAACUGGUCUGAGAGGAUGAUCAGUCACACUGGAACUGAGACACGGUCCAGACUCCUACGGGAGGCAGCAGUGGGGAAUAUUGGACAAUGGGCGAAAGCCUGAUCCAGCCAUGCCGCGUGUGUGAAGAAGGUCUUCGGAUUGUAAAGCACUUUAAGUUGGGAGGAAGGGCAGUAAGUUAAUACCUUGCUGUUUUGACGUUACCAACAGAAUAAGCACCGGCUAACAUCGUG
rnacentral:rRNA from 1 species